AAGAACAAAUUUCCAUAAGCAGCUAUUCCUGAUAGACCUUGCUGGCAGUGAAAUAACAGGACAGAAACAGGAAAGAACAGAUUGCAUGAGGCAGCUGGUUCCAUACCAAGAUGCGAAGUUAACAUACUGGUUAAAGAACUAUUUCACUGGAAAAGGAAAGGUGCAAAUGAUUGUGUACAUGAAUCCCAAGUCCACCAAUUACAGAGAAAACCUGUGAUUUCUGAAAAAGGACUCGAAGAUGCUUAC